rnacentral:rRNA from 1 species
AGAGUUUGAUCAUGGCUCAGGACGAACGCUGGGCGGCGUGCUUAACACAUGCAAGUCGAGCGGGGUUUAUCGGAUUAGCUUGCUAAACUGAUAAACCUAGCGGCGGACGGGUGAGUAACGCGUGAGCAAUCUGCCUCAUACAGGGGGAUAACAGGUGGAAACACCUGCUAAUACCGCAUAAGACUCCACUACCGCAUGGUAGAGAAGUCAAAGGGAUUACCGGUAUGAGAUGAGCUCGCGUCCCAUUAGCUAGUUGGUAGGGUAAAGGCCUACCAAGGCGACGAUCAGUAGCCGACCUGAGAGGGUGAUCGGCCACACUGGAACUGAGACACGGUCCAGACUCCUACGGGAGGCAGCAUUGGGGAAUAUUGCACAAUGGGCGAAAGCCUGAUGCAGCAACGCCGCGUGAGCGAUGAAGGCCUUCGGGUCGUAAAGCUCUGUACUCAAGGAAGAUAAUGACGGUACUUGAGGAGGAAGCCCCGGCUAACUACGUGCCAGCAGCCGCGGUAAUACGUAGGUGGCAAGCGUUGUCCGGAAUUAUUGGGCGUAAAGCGCGCGCAGGUGGUUUCUUAAGUCUGAUGUGAAAGCCCACGGCUCAACCGUGGAGGGUCAUUGGAAACUGGGAAACUUGAGUGCAGAAGAGGAUAGUGGAAUUCCAAGUGUAGCGGUGAAAUGCGUAGAGAUUUGGAGGAACACCAGUGGCGAAGGCGACUAUCUGGUCUGUAACUGACACUGAGGCGCGAAAGCGUGGGGAGCAAACAGGAUUAGAUACCCUGGUAGUCCACGCCGUAAACGAUGAGUGCUAAGUGUUGGGGGGUUUCCGCCCCUCAGUGCUGCAGCUAACGCAUUAAGCACUCCGCCUGGGGAGUACGGUCGCAAGACUGAAACUCAAAUGAAUUGACGG